UACGGAGGAUGCGAGCGUUAUCCGGAUUUAUUGGGUUUAAAGGGUGCGCAGGCGGCACGGCAAGCCGGCGGUCAAAUCGCGGGGCUCAACCCCGCCCAGCCGUCGGAACUGCCGGGCUAGAGUGGGCGAGAAGUGCGCGGAAUGCCUGGUGUAGCGGUGAAAUGCAUAGAUAUCACGCAGAACUCCGAUUGCGAAGGCAGCGCACCGGCGCCCUACUGACGCUCAGGCACGAAAGCGUGGGUAUCGAACAGG
rnacentral:rRNA from 1 species